rnacentral:rRNA from 1 species
AGCUCCAGUAGCGUAUAUUAAAGUUGUUGCAGUUAAAAAGCUCGUAGUUGGAUUUCUGGUACGCUGCGCCUGGCCCGCCGACGCUAGUCGUGUGAGUGCUGGUUGCGCGGUUGCCAUCCUUCUAGAGAACGUGUCUACCCUUCACUGGGCCGGAUUCGGGAUCUAGAUCAUUUACUUUGAAAAAAUUAGAGUGUUUAAAGCAGGCUAUUGCUAUGAAUACAUUAGCAUGGAAUAAUAAUAUAGGACUUUGGUUCUAUUUUGUUGGUUUCUAGGACUAAAGUAAUGAUUGAUAGGGAUAGUUGGGGGUGCUAGUAUUCAGCGGCCAGAGGUGAAAUUCUUGGAUUCGCUGAAGACUAACUUAUGCGAAAGCAUUCACCAAGGAUGUCUUCUUUAAUCAAGA